CAGCCGUAAACUAUGCGCGUUAGGUGUACUGGUGACCACGAGUCACCGGGGUGCCGAAGGGAAACCGUGAAACGUGCCGCCCGGGAAGUACGGUCGCAAGGCUGAAACUUAAAGGAAUUGGCGGGGGAGGCACCACAACGGGUGGAGCCUGCGGGUUUAAUUUGGACUCAACGCCGGAAAUACUCACCGGAUAGGACAGACAUAUGAUAGUCGGGCUGAAGACUCUACUUGAUGAUCUGAGAGGAGGUGCAUGGCGUCAGUGACU
rnacentral:rRNA from 1 species